rnacentral:misc_RNA from 1 species
GAAGAACGGCAACCUCGCACCCUGACAUGCCGCCACCGUCACGACGGCGGCAUCGACCGCAGCCCCAACGCUGCAAUGCGACGUUGCCAUCCCAACGGGCAACAGCCCUUGCGGCCGAACCGCGCUGCGAGGCCGUGGUGGCAUGGCCAGAUUUUCACGGCACGCUCCUGUACCGUGCGUCCGGUCAUUGGUCGGUGAGGACACGCGACCCCCAGGACCGUCGCGAUCAACACGGAUACCACGUGGCACCGGCGUCUUUACACUCCACGAUGCUAUCCUAUGAAGUUAAUAUACGCAAACUCGUGGACACGCAACCCCCAGGACCGUGACGACCAUGUCAGAAGCCACGCGGCGAUUUCUUCACUUUUUCACGAUGUUAACUUGAUAAUAGCUGAACGUAAUUAAUGGAGCUUAAACAGAGGUGGUUGAGAUUGUUUGAGGAAAACGAUAUAAAUAGGUAGACGUUCUUCGUUCUUUAGAGGCAGUAGAUUAAUAAAUGAUGUUUGAAAAUUGACAUUCUGUUUGGAAAGUACACAAGAUGAACGACCAACUGUGAAGAAUAUAGACGGAAGCAACGAAAGGUUAAUGUGAUUUUCUAAUUAGAUGCGGACACGCGACCCCACCGCGUCAUCGAAUGCGGAACCCACGUGACCACAAUUCCCUUAUCCUCGACAGUGAUGAUUAACGAUGUCCGAGAUUUAAUGCACUUGGAUGAUUAAUAAAGUUCGAAACGGUGCGUUUAAACAGUCUGAAAUGAAAAAGGGAGAAACUGACAAACGCAGAUGGAAAUUGCAAGAAAGGAAAUAAAAUAAAUAAAAAUAGUAGAUACAUUAUCGUGAUCGUGAAUUUCCACGUUCAAUUUAAUUCUAUGCACUUAUUUAAAAACGAUUUCAAACGCAGAAAUAAGAUAAAUAUGGACAGAAAAUAAGAAUGAGAAAGGAGAAAUGAGAAAUGCAACCGUGAACGGUUCGGGAAACGCAAAUCACACGAAAAGAAAAAAUGAGAAAUUAACAGUCGAUGUAUAAAAAUCACGUAACAUUUUAUUAAACUCGUUUCCAGUAGGUGUAAUGCAUGUGUACGUGUUGCUUUCUUCGUUUCGUACUUUCUUUCUUUUUUUUUUCUCACUUUCGAACCCUUCCUACUCCUUUCUUGUUUAAUAAAAUAUCGGAUACCGCUUCGUAGGAAUUACUUCUUACAUUUAGACCACAGAAAUAUCGAUUUCGUUUUAUUAUUCUUUCCUCUUACUUCUUCUCCCUCUUGUCGAAGAGAUCGCGGAUAACCGACGUCAUUCGCAAGAUCG